GGCGGCGUAGCUCAGAUGGCUAGAGCAUUCGGUUCAUACCCGAAGUGUCAGGAGUUCAAAUCUCUUCGCCGCUACCA
rnacentral:tRNA from 2 species